CAAUAGCGUAUAUUAAAGUUGUUGCGGUUAAAAAGCUCGUAGUUGGAUUUCUGCCGAGGACGACCGGUCCGCCCUCUGGGUGAGUAUCUGGCUUGGCCUGGGCAUCUUCUUGGAGAACGUAGCUGCACUUGACUGUGUGGUGCGGUAUCCAGGACUUUUACUUUGAGGAAAUUAGAGUGUUUCAAGCAGGCAUACGCCUUGAAUACAUUAGCAUGGAAUAAUAAGAUAGGACCUCGGUUCUAUUUUGUUGGUUUCUAGAGCUGAGGUAAUGAUUAAUAGGGAUAGUUGGGGGCAUUCGUAUUUAACUGUCAGAGGUGAAAUUCUUGGAUUGCGUUACGACGAACUACUGCGAAAGCAUUUGCCAAAGAUGUUUUCAUUGAUCAAGAACGAAAGUAUGGGAUCGAAGAUGAUUAGAUACCAU
rnacentral:rRNA from 1 species